rfam:Cyanidioschyzon merolae chloroplast DNA, complete genome, strain: 10D.
GCCGGGAUAGCUCAGUUGGUAGAGCAGAGGACUGAAAAUCCUUGUGUCACGAGUUCAAAUCUCGUUCCUGGCA